AGACAGACCGCCAGCCCAGCAGAAGCAACUGGGUGUGGCCUGACUCCCAGGGAGUCCUGGGGAAUCCCUGCAACUGAGCAAAUUUCGCUCCUGCCUCUUCCAGAUUCUCCAGGGAGCUGUCCUCUCCUCUGAGGUCCAAGUUAGCUAGCCUAUUCUCCAGUGAAAAAACUGAUAGAAGGUAUCCAGUUUUCAGGAUUGUCUGGGGGGAAAUGGAGGCAGUCCAGCAGAAAGAUCAUCGAUUCAAGUGUAGCGGACUUGGGUUCAAAUCCUGAUUCUCCCACUUAGUAGAGUAUGACCUUGGCCACAGUGUUUAACCUCUCUGUGCUUCAGUUUCCUUGGCUGUAAAACAGUACAGGGACCCAUCUCAAAACUGUUGAGGAUUAAAUGAGAUGUGCAAAGCACUUACAAUAGUAAGUGUGAGAUAAGCAUCAGCUAGGAUUACCUCAUGAAGUGAUUAUUAAAUGGUGAAAGGGUGGAAGCACCCAGUACCGUACAGGCCCUCAAUCAGUGGUAGCUGAUAUAACGAUGCUAAUAAUAACGAUGAAGGUGCAGAGGCCCGAGAACCUAGCAGUCAGAGCAAUGGCCAGAGGAAUGUGGAGAUGCCUAGUGCUGGCAGAGAAAGGAAAGCCCUGUUUCAGGGGCUCUAGGGAAGACAGUGGCAGCAAGUCCCUAGAGAGCACUGCUUGGCAUCUCCUCUAGGUUGUUGCUCUGUGGCUCAGGCAGCCAUUCAAAUGCAUGGGAAGGGAAGGAAAGAACCAGCAGUAGACA
rnacentral:lncRNA from 1 species